UACGAAGGGGGCUAGCGUUGCUCGGAAUCACUGGGCGUAAAGGGCGUGUAGGCGGGACAGUAAGUCGGGCGUGAAAUCCCUGGGCUCAACCCAGGAACUGCACUCGAAACUACUAUUCUUGAGUGUCGGAGAGGAAAGCGGAAUUCCUGGUGUAGAGGUGAAAUUCGUAGAUAUCAGGAGGAACACCAGUGGCGAAGGCGGCUUCUGGACGAUAACUGACGCUGAGACGCGAAAAGCGUGGGGAGCAAACAGG
rnacentral:rRNA from 1 species